CGGGGCCGGGGCGCGCAUCCCGGUCCCCCCCCCCCGACGGGGGUUAGGCCCCGCUGGGCGCCCCCCGCCGUACCUCGGGAUCUCUUCAGCGCGAUGGGGUCCUUCUCCUGUUCCGCUGACAUUACAGACAGCGGCGCAUGGCUCCCAGGCGGCAGGAAUCGGGGCUCUUUGAUGCUGCCUCCGCCGCCGCCGGCCCGCACCCCGCCCCCUCCGCCUCCGCCUCCUCCGCCGCCGCCGCCGCCGCCCCCGCCCGGCGCUGCCGUAACCGCCGCCCGCCCGGCGGAGCCGCCGGACUUUGCAAAGUUUGGCAGCGGGGGGGGCUCCGCCGCGGCGAGGAGAGGGGCUGCGGCCACCCCCCCCCCCCCGGGGCAGCCGCCGCCGGGACGGGCUCCGCGCCAACGGGAGGGGCGGCGAAGGCGGCGCGCGGCCGUUGGGACCGUUAGGGCCGGGGGGGGGGCACAGCGGGGGGCUCCUGCCCUGACCCCCCCUCAGCGCGACCCCCGUCCCGCUCCCUGCGGGGCCCCUCCAGGAGCCAGCAAAAUGCCGGCAGCGCCUCCGACCCCCUGGGAAGGGCGAGAUGCCAGUCUUUGCUUUGCAGCCAUCCCAGAAUGCAGGUACCUUGAGGUACAGCACAUUGCCACCGUCCUCAUGGGAUCCUCCGGUUAAUUUUGUGUAAUCUUGCUGAAGAGAAGCAUGGCUUGUUAUUAGCAAGGUGGGUGUGAGCUACUCUAUAUUUGGAGGAAAACGUCUUAUCUGUGAAGAGAUUUGCAUUUUCUGUGAUGGAGCUCGCUGCAGGCCUAGAUGAUUCUCCCAGGACUGCAUGAGCUUUUGUGCAAGGCUGCCUUGUAAUAGCAUGUAGACUGUAAUUACGGAUGCGCAGAUUGAUGUCACUGAGUCUAUAAAGGUUCCUAGGGGAUGAUUGUCUGCAUCAGAAAUGUGAGCAGGGAAUUGAGAUUUUAACCCAGUGCUCUAAUUGCAAAAAAAUUGUCUGUUUUGCUGCUCAUCCAAAUUCAGCUUUAACUUGUGCUCAGGAUUUUAGUGAGCAAUCUGUAAGAAUCCUAUUGGACCAACUGUACACUUCUAAACCUUCAUGCAAAAUGGCUGAGACAGUGUCUGAAAAGGAAUUAAUUCACAGGUUCAGGGACCUACACCAGCAUCUCAGCCAUUCCAAAAGUCUGAAAACUCUGGUCACACACUGUUGACCUGCUAAGUGCCUUGCUGCUCAUUAGUUACCUUUAAAAUUACUCCACCAUUUCAUCCACCCAAAGGCUGUCAUUAAUUAAUAAAACUCAGAGGCACCUAAUAGGUAACCUCCA
rnacentral:lncRNA from 1 species